rnacentral:rRNA from 1 species
AUUGAACGCUGGCGGCAUGCCUUACACAUGCAAGUCGAACGGCAGCGGACCUUCGGGUGCCGGCGAGUGGCGAACGGGUGAGUAAUGUAUCGGAACGUACCAUUGAGUGGGGGAUAACGUAGCGAAAGUUACGCUAAUACCGCAUAUUCUCUCCGGAGGAAAGCAGGGGACCGCAAGGACUUGCGCUCUUUGAGCGGCCGAUAUCAGAUUAGCUAGUUGAUGAGGUAAAGGCUCACCAAGGCUACGAUCUGUAGCGGGUCUGAGAGGAUGAUCCGCCACACUGGAACUGAGACACGGUCCAGACUCCUACGGGAGGCAGCAGUGGGGAAUUUUGGACAAUGGGGGCAACCCUGAUCCAGCCAUGCCGCGUGAGUGAAGAAGGCCUUCGGGUUGUAAAGCUCUUUCGGGUGAGAAGAAAGCGGAUGGGCUAAUACCCUGUUCGGAUGACGGUAUCACCAUAAGAAGCACCGGCUAACUACGUGCCAGCAGCCGCCGUAAAAC